UCUUUUGGAGAGUUUGAUCCUGGCUCAGGACGAACGCUGGCGGCGUGCCUAAUACAUGCAAGUCGAGCGGACCGAAUAGAAGCUUGCUUCUGUUCGGUUAGCGGCGGACGGGUGAGUAACACGUGGGCAACCUGCCCGUAAGACGGGGAUAACUUCGGGAAACCGGAGCUAAUACCCGAUAAGUCUAAAGACCGCAUGGUCUUUAGUUGAAAGGCGGCUUCGGCUGUCACUUACGGAUGGGCCCGCGGCGCAUUAGCUAGUUGGUGAGGUAACGGCUCACCAAGGCGACGAUGCGUAGCCGACCUGAGAGGGUGAUCGGCCACACUGGGACUGAGACACGGCCCAGACUCCUACGGGAGGCAGCAGUAGGGAAUCUUCCGCAAUGGACGAAAGUCUGACGGAGCAACGCCGCGUGAGCGAAGAAGGUCUUCGGAUUGUAAAGCUCUGUUGUUAGGGAAGAACAAGUAUGGUUCGAAUAGGGCCGUAC
rnacentral:rRNA from 1 species